CCGAAUGAAUUCAAAACACACAAAACGAAUUCGGAUUUGAAUUCACAUUCAAACGCAAAUACCAAACACAAUUACAACACAUGCAGUUCAAGGUCGCCUCAACCUCUGCAGCGCAGAAUCGAAAAAGUUAUAAGGAAUAAAUAGCGAUAAGUUUCCAUUAUAAUCUAUUAUCAACGCAUCUGAGGUAGCUUUGGGGCUAUCAGUAAAAAAUAAACGCCACAUAUCUACUCACUACAAAGUCUGCAAUGCACACUCGGAUGCGGUGCAAUAAUAACUUCUUGGAUAAUAUACCAAACAAAUCGAUUGAGUAACUCGAUAUGCGAUUAGUUCUAUAUCUGUACAUGGGUGCCUAUAUAAAUGCAUAUAAAACUGCGUGUGCGUCAGUUUACUGAGGCGCAAUAGACUGGAACAAAGAAGGCGUCUGGAACGGAAAACUGAAGAAAGAAACAGAAUCGAACUCAAAUGCACUAAAUAAAAACUGAACGGAGCUGUCAAGAGAAAGAACACCGAAAGAGGCCACCUCAUCGGCCCCUGAAUCACAGCGAUUUGUUUGGGAGCAGCCCACAUGCAGUUCUACAGCCGCAAUCAAAAAAUAUGAAGUACUUACAUUAACUAUUUAAUUUUUUGUAUUAAAUAUAUUACUGUUAAAGUUCGAGCUCUAAAAAAGAUCACAGUUGUUAAAAGAAUUGAAAUUAAUGUGUUAUACAACACUGGCUUUUAAAUACUUAUCUAAGGAGGAAGUAAUAUAUAAUUUAAUAUAAUAAUAUAUUUAAUAGGAAAUAUUUUAGGGUUACAAUGAAUAAAGGAAUCCAUUAAACUCUCAAGA